rnacentral:rRNA from 1 species
UACAGAGGGGGCAAGCGUUGUUCGGAAUUACUGGGCGUAAAGGGCGCGUAGGCGGCCUUCUAAGUCGAACGUGAAAUCCCCGGGCUCAACCCGGGAACUGCGUCCGAGACUGAAAGGCUCGAAUCCGGGAGAGGGAUGUGGAAUUCCAGGUGUAGCGGUGAAAUGCGUAGAUAUCGAGAGGAACACCUGCGGCGAAGGCGGGUUGCUGGGCUGACACCGACGCUGAUUGUGCGAAAGCUAGGGGAGCGAACGGG